rnacentral:rRNA from 1 species
AUUGAACGCUGGCGGCAGGCCUAACACAUGCAAGUCGAGCGGAUGAGGGAAGCUUGCUUCCCGAUUUAGCGGCGGACGGGUGAGUAAUGCCUAGGAAUCUGCCUAUUAGUGGGGGAUAACGUUCCGAAAGGAACGCUAAUACCGCAUACGUCCUACGGGAGAAGGUGGGGGAUCUUCGGACCUUACGCUAAUAGAUGAGCCUAGGUCGGAUUAGCUAGUUGGUGGGGUAACGGCUCACCAAGGCGACGAUCCGUAGCUGGUCUGAGAGGAUGAUCAGCCACACUGGAACUGAGACACGGUCCAGACUCCUACGGGAGGCAGCAGUGGGGAAUAUUGGACAAUGGGCGAAAGCCUGAUACAGCCAUGCCGCGUGUGUGAAGAAGGUCUUCGGAUUGUAAAGCACUUUAAGUUGGGAGGAAGGGUUGUAAGCUAAUAUCUUGCAGCUUUGACGUUACCAACAGAAUAAGCACCGGCUAACUCUGUGCCAGCCGCCGCCGUAACAC